rnacentral:lncRNA from 1 species
ACAAUCAUCCAACAUAUCAACAUCAUAACUCAAUUAUUUAAAAGAAUAACAAGUUCAAACCAUACAACCAUGCAACUUUGAAUCCGAAUUUAAAGUUAACGCAAGAAAAGAGAACAGGCAUGUUGUUACACUUUUUCGAUGAUCUUCAAGGGCCAGUUGAUGAUGACGCAAGUGCUCCUCAGCUUCAAGAUCUCGGCUGCAGCUUGGAGAAGUCCGAAGGCUGCUCUCCAACGUUGGCUUCUCGGCUCCUAGAUGCACACGGAUACAGGAAGAAAGAUGUUAUUGUUUUUGUGUGAUUUGUGCGUGAAGAUAUGAUGUCCAAAACUCAGCAUAUGUCUUCUAUUUAUAGUGUCCAUGUCGCACCUAGGGUUUAUUCUCCACCCUUGAUUUUACCUUGAUCCAACGGUCCAAGAGAAUUGCCUGACAAAUUAAUUAAAAUCUGUUGGGAACUCUCUAGAAUUUCUUGCGCACAAAGGUGAUGAAUUUGGCUGAAUUAUGGACUAGGUACGUUGCUUGAUCUCCACAACAAAUCAGCCAUUUAGUAUCCUUCCUUGUAUUGCCGAAAAUCAGCUCCUCCUCUUUAAUUUGCUACGCCAUUUAUUGUUCCUGAAAAGGGAAGGAAUUAGUCUUGUAAAAUCAGAUUUUUAGACAAAAAAAUUUAAGGAAUUAAUUUCUAGAUUUUCAUAUUUGAAUUGCAUAAUAAAUCCCUUAAUUUAGACAAAAAAAUCUUGUCUUAAAAUCCUAGAAAGACUCGGCAGGAAACCCUAGGGUUUUGCCUUACGUUGCAUGGAAUCGGAAGCGGAAGUGUAGAAGCGAAGCGUUUGGAAACGCGGAAGCGUUUUUUUUUCAAAAAUACUUGGAAGCGGAAGCGUUUUGGAAGCGCGGAAUAAAAUAAAUAUAAUAUAUAUAUAUAUAUAUAUUAGAAUAUAUGAAAUAAAAUGUUGCUGUUGGAUGGAGUAGUUUUUUGGGUAUUUGAGGAAGGGAAACACUACUUCUUUGUAUGGAGGUGCAUGUAUUGGAUUUCUUCUGAUAAGAAGAAUUCGUAUUCUACAGUUUGCACCACCGCACUAUCAAUCAAUAGCAAACCAAUCAAGACUGGCUUCACUCUUUUCUCUCUCCUCCCUCAUCUUCUCCAUCUUUCUUCUCUC